CUACGGCCACAUCACGUUAAAACACCGGUUCACGUACGAAAACCAGAGUUAAGCAACGUCGAGCAAGCUGAGUAUCAAGAUGGGUGACUGUUUGGGAAUGCCAGUUGCCGUA